ACAGUUGACGGAUAUGUCUAUGACAACUUAUGACAGCAUUGUCACACCCCUACAUCACUCUCCCCCGAGUGACAUUGCCGUCACGAUGACUUUUCGCUGGAGGAUAAGUGUGUUUCGGUGGCGGUCUGGAAUACAAAUAUGUUCGUUUAAGAUCCUGACGAUUGGUGAUUCGUUCGAUAACAGGAUGCGGACCUGAGUAAGGUGGCGAUAAUGAUGUACGAACUCGAUCAUCUCGUAGAAAUACGUGUGUGGCAGAACUUAAGUUUCGGUGUACGAAUUCGACAGUUGAUUCACGAAUUGAGCUGGAUUAUCGUCAACAGUUUGAUCAUCG